rnacentral:rRNA from 1 species
UACGUAGGGUGCAAGCGUUGUCCGGAAUUAUUGGGCGUAAAGAGCUCGUAGGCGGUCUGUUAUGUCGGAUGUGAAAGCCCUUGGCUCAACUGAGGAAGUGCAUCCGAAACUGGCAGGCUAGAGUACGAAAGAGGAUCGCGGAAUUCCGGUGUGAGAGGUGAAAUUCGUAGAUAUCGGGAGGAACACCGGUGGCGAAGGCGGCGACUC